rnacentral:lncRNA from 1 species
UCCCAGAUUGGGUAAAAAUGUAAACCUAUAGCUGCAGAAGUAGGAAUAAUGGCACCGGAAAUAAUGUUGUUUCCGUAAAGUAGAGUGUCACGACCCAAAUCCGGGCCGCGACUGGCACCCACACUUACCCUCUUAUGUGAGCGAACCAACCAAUCUAACCUUAACAUUUCAAUAUAAUAUCAAUAGAAAGUAAUGCGGAAGACUUAAACUCAUUAAAUAAAGACCAAUUCAUUAACUUCUAAAAUUCAACAUCUAUUAUUCCCCAAAACCUGGAAGUCAUCAUCACAAGAACAUCUACGAUCAAACGACUAAACUAAGAGUAUUCUAAAAGCUAAAAAUACAUAAGAAGCUAGUCCAUGCCGGAUGUUCAAGGCAUCAAGACUUGAAGAAGAAGAUCCAGUCCAAGCUAGAAGCAUUAGCUCACCCUGAAUUUCCGAUGUAGUAAGACUGGCUUGAAUUACUUUUGAGUUGAAGACGAUGGCACGUUUGCUGCACUCCACAAAUAAAAAAGAAGAGAACAUAAAAGUAGGGGUCAGUACAAAACACGGGUACUGAGUAGAUAUCAUCGGCCAACUCAAAAUAGAAAUCAAUAUAUACCAAGUAAUAUCAUAAAAUCAACUAUGAUACUCAACAUGUAGCAACAACAAAUACUAUAUCAUUAACAAUUACCGUCAAGUUCACACAUGAGGACUCAAGCCUCGAUACCAUACUCAUUUGGGAAUCAUGUUCAUUAGAUUGAGUAUAUUAACAUCUUUCAAGAUUCAUUAUCUUUAUUUCUCUUGUGUAGGUACGUGACACUCCGCUCCCUCAAUAUUCAUUAAUCCUCUUGUGUCGGUACGUGACACCGCGAUCCCCUAAAUCUAUGUGUCGGUUCGUGACACCCGAUCCCCUAAAUCUAUGUGUCGGUUCGUGACACCUAAUCCCCUAAAUCUACGUGUCGGUUCGUGACACCCGAUCCCCUAAUACUACGUGUCGGUUCGUGACACCCGAUCCCCUAAUACUACGUGUCAGUUCGUGACACCCGAUCCCCUAAUUCUACGUGUCAGUUCAUGACACCCGAUCCCCUAAUACUACGUGUCGGUUCGUGACACCCGAUCCCCUAAUUCUACGUGUCGGUUCGUGACACCCGAUCCCCUAAUUCUACGUGUCGAUUCGUGACACCCGAUCCCCUAAUCUCCUUCCAUCAAUUCAUCAGCCUUCUUUCUUACCAAGGCAUCAUCAAUCUCAUUACUUUAGUUCAUCAAGCCUUCUCCCUUACCAAGGCAUCAUCAUUAAAAAGAGAUUAGGUUUUUAUCAAGAUUUGGGAUUCAAUAACUUCAUCACACUUAAUAUAAUCACAAUUAUAUAAUCACGUUCAUGCAUGCAUACAAUUAAGCACAUAGCAGGGUUUACAAUACUACCAAUACAUAUCAUUCUCUAUUAAGAGUUUACUAUGAAAGCAUGAAAACCAUAACCUACCUCCACCGAAGAAUUGAAAUCAAGCAAGUUAAUCCUCAAAGCUUGGUGCUUUCCUCUUCUCUCGAUCGUUUCUCUCUCUCCCUUCUUGUUCUUUCUAUUUUCUUAUUCCAACCCUCUUUCUUUUACCCUAAUUGGUAUAUAAUUAAGAAUAAAAGAUGGCAAUAAUGCCCCACUAAUUAACUUAAGGUUACCUCUUUUAACCCCCAAGUAAUUAGACUUAUUAACAUUAACCCACUAACUUUAUAAUUAAGGCAAGAAUAGUCAAAAACGUCCCUUAAAACGUAUCAAGAAAUCUGACCCAGACUGGGAUUGCGCAACCUGCGACGGCCCGUCGUGCCUGCGACGGUCCGUCCUGCAGGUCGUCGCAAGGGUCAGAGACUCAAUUUCCACUGAAUAAUCUGUGACGGUCCGUCACGCCUGUGACGGUCCGUCCUGCCAUUCCGUCACGAAGUUCAGAGAGUCGAUUUUCAGUACCCAAAUUUCAGAAUUUCUAAGUGUUUUGGACGAGACACCCUCGACGGUCCGUCGUGCCCAUGACGUUCCGUCGUGGGUUCCGUCGUCUCAGCCUGUUUUUCCAGAAUAAAAUCUGUUGCUCAAAAUGACUAAACAGGUCGUUACAUUAGAUACCAAUUUACCCAUCGUUCGUCCCCGAACGAUCACAAGAAGGAAAACAAGGGCGAAAAGGAGUACCUGAAUCUGUAAACAGAUAUGGGUAUUUUUCUCGCAUAUCCGCCUCCUUCUCCCAAGUGGCUUCUUCAACGGGUCGAUUCUUCCAUUGAACUUUGAUGGAUGCAAUCUCCCUUGAUCUCAACUUGCGAAUUUCUCUAUCUAGAAUGGCAACAGGUUCCUCCUCAUAAGACAAAUUCUCAUCAAGCAAAACUGAAUCCCAACGGAUAAUGUAAUUUCCAUCCCCAUGAUAUCUUUUCAACAUAGACACAUGGAAUACCGGAUGCACUCCGGACAGCCCUGGAGGCAAGGCUAACUCAUAAGCCACCUCCCCUACUCUCUUAAGUACUUCAAAUGGACCAAUAUACCUUGGGCUAAGUUUACCUCGCUUACCAAAUCGCAUCACCCCUUUCAUUGGCGAAACCUUCAACAAGACUUGUUCACCUUCCAUGAACUCUAAGUCUCUAACCUUUCGAUCUGCAUAUUCUUUUCGUCUACUUUGCGCCGCUAGAAGCUUUUCUUGAAUAGACUUCACUUUCUCUGUCGAAUCCCUCAAAAGGUCAGUACCUCAAGGUCUAACCUCGAAUGCAUCAAACCAACCAAUGGGAGACCUACAUCUCCUCCCAUACAAUGCUUCAAAUGGGGCCAUAUCAAUACUUGAGUGAUAGCUAUUAUUGUAUGAAAACUCCGCUAAGGGUAGGAAGCUAUCCCAAUGGCCACAAAACUCUAUCACACAUGCACGAAGCAUAUCCUCCAACACUUGAAUCGUUCGCUCAGACUGACCGUCGGUCUGAGGAUGGAACGCAGUACUAAGGUCCAACCUAGUACCCAAUUCCGCAUGCAAUGUUUUCCAAAACUUAGAAGUAAACUGCGUACCUCUAUCUGAUAUGAUGGAUAGUGGAACCCCAUGCAAUCGAACGAUUUCUGAGAUAUAGAUCUUGGCUAACUUCUCUGCAUUGUAAGUCACCUUUACCGGAAUGAAAUGAGCAGAUUUAGUUAACCUAUCAACAAUCACCCAAAUGGAGUCAUACUUACCCAUUGUCCUUGGAAGACCAACCACAAAGUCCAUUGCAAUUCUUUCCCACUUCCAUUCCGGAAUGGGCAUUCUCUGAAGUGUUCCUCCGGGCCUUUGGUGUUCAUACUUUACUUGUUGACAGUUUGGACAUUUGGCAAUAAAGUCCACAAUGUCACGCUUCAUUCUACUCCACCAAAAGUGUUGCUUUAGGUCACGAUACAUCUUGGUUGCACCCGGAUGUAUAGAAUACCUUGAACUAUGAGCCUCUGUCAGAAUAGUGUUGAUCAAAUCAUCGACGCGGGGUACACAUACCCUUCCCUUGAUUCUCAAAACACCUUCCUCAUCGAUUUGUGCUUUCUUAGCCUCUCCUCGCAAUACCUUAUCUCGGAUUCGCCUUAGUUUCUCAUCAUCAAACUGUUUUCCCUUAAUUUUGUCAAGAAAAGAAGAUCUUGACUCCACACAAGCCAACAAUCCUCCCUUCUCAUUUACUUCUAAUCUCAUCAAGUCAUUAGCUAGAGUCUGAACCUCUCUAGCCAAUGGGCGUCUAGAAGCUUGCAAGUGAGCUAGACUUCCCAUGCUUCCCGCCUUUCUACUUAAAGCAUCCGCUACAACAUUCGCUUUUCCCGGAUGAUACAAGAUAGUGAUGUCGUAGUCCUUCAGUAGUUCCAUCCAUCUCCUCUGUCUCAAGUUCAAAUCCUUCUGAGUAAAGACAUACUGAAGGCUAUGAUGAUCCGUGUAGACCUCACACUUAACCCCAUAUAAAUAGUGUCUCCAUUGCUUUAAUGCAAACACUACCGCAGCCAAUUCCAAAUCAUGAGUCGGAUAGUUACGUUCAUGCACUUUUAAUUGUCUUGAAGCAUAAGCAAUCACAUUCUUCUCUUGCAUUAACACUGCACCCAAACCCGAAUAGGAUGCAUCACAAUAAACAAUGAAGUUCUUACCCUCUACUGGCAAGGUAAGGAUAGGUGCGGUAGUCAACAAAGUCUUGAGCUUCUGAAAGCUUUCCUCACAUUCGUUCGACCAUACAAAUGGAACAUUCUGCUUAGUCAAGUUCGUCAAUUGGGAAGCAAUAGAAGAGAAUCCCUUGACAAAUCGGCGGUAGUAGCUAGCUAACCCAACAAAGCUCCUUAUUUCUGACACAUUAGUAGGUCUUACCCAAUUCUUUACUGUCUCAAUCUUAGAAGGAUCCACCAUCACUCCAUCCUUAGAAACCACGUGCCCCAAGAAGGACACUACAUCUAGCCAAAACUCACACUUAGAGAACUUGGCAUAAAGCUUUUUCUCCCUCAACAUUUCCAAUACCAUUCUCAAAUGCUCUUCAUGUUCCUUCUUGCUCUUUGAGUAUACCAAUAUAUCAUCAAUAAAUACGAUCACGAAGAGGUCCAAAUAUGGCUUAAAAAUCCCGUUCAUCAAGCUCAUGAACGCAGCAGGGGCAUUCGUAAGACCAAAAGACAUCACUACAAAUUCGUAAUGCCCAUACCUCGUUCGAAAAGCAGUCUUUGGCACAUCCGUUGCCCGUAUUUUCAAUUGAUGAUAACCGAAUCUCAAGUCAAUCUUAGAGAAGACACAAGCACCUUGUAACUGAUCGAACAAGUCAUCAAUGCGGGGAAGAGGAUACUUGUUCUUUAUGGUUACCUUGUUUAGUUGUCUGUAGUCUAUACACAUUCGAAAACUCCCAUCCUUCUUCUUUACAAACAAAACCGGAGCACCCCAAGGAGAUGCACUUGGUCUAAUAAAGCCUUUGUUUAACAACUCUUGAAGUUGGGCUUUUAACUCUCUUAACUCCGCGGGAGCCAUUCUAUAAGGGGGUAUCGAAAUGGGGCGAGUACCCGGUUCAAGGUCAAUACAGAAAUCAAUAUCCCUAUCUGGUGGCAUACCAGGAAGAUCUGCAGGGAACACAUCCAGAAACUCACGGACCACCGAAACCGACUCAAUCGAGGUACUUGGGUAGUGUCAUCCUUGAGAUGUGCCAAGAAAGCUAAACACCCUUUACUAACCAUUUUCUUAGCACGAAGAAAGGAGAUGAUACGCACCGGAUUGGAAGUGUAGUCACCCUCCCAAACUAACGGAUCUGUCCCAGGCUUGGCUAACGUCACCGUUUUAGCAUUACAAUCCAAGAUCGCAAAUUGCGGAGAAAGCCAAGUCAUACCCAGAAUUACAUCAAAAUCAUCCAUUUCUAAGAUAACCAAAUCUACAUAAGUGUUGCUCCCCACAAAUUUCACCAAACAAGACCUAUAUACCUUUUCAACUACCACAGACUCACCCACCGGAGUAGAAACACGAAUAGGCAUAUCAAGUAAUUCACAAUGUAAAUUUAGACCAUUAGCAAAUGAGGAAGAUACAUAAGAAAAUGUGGAUCCAGGAUCAAACAAUACAGAAGCCAUGCAAUCACAAACCAGAAGAUUACCUGUGAUGACAGCAUCAGAUGCCUCCGCUUCAGACCGCCCAGGGAAAGCGUAACAAUGGGCCCUAUCGUUCAUCUGUCCGUUGCCCCUACCAUGUUGUGAUGUAGUGGCUCCAGUUUGCCCAUCACCUCGGCCGUUUUGGUGACCACCAUUACCUCGACCACCACGUCCUCCAGAAUGACGGCCUCUACCAUGACCACCUCUACCUCUAGCCAUUGGGGGUCUAUAACUCUGUUUUGGACAAUUCCUCCUAAUAUGUCCAGUCUCCCCACAUCCAUAACACUCUCUGGAGUCAAGCAUAGGUCUCUCAGAGAAGUGUUGACCGGUCUGAGGUGGACCCCCAACUACAGUCUGUAGUGAAGACUGAAUGGGUCGAACUGAGUAACCUCCGGAACCUUGUCCUCUAGAGUAAGAACCAUUAAACUCACCUCCCUUUCGAAACCUUUUUGAUGUCGAUGUCGUGGUGAAGUCAUCUGGCUUCACUCCUUCCACCUCUAUCACAAAGUCUACCACCUCUUGGAAGGAUUUUGCCGUAGCCGCUACCUGUAAGGCUGAAAUCCGCAACUCUGACCUCAACCCCUUCACAAAACGGCGAAUCCGCUCUUGUGGACUGAAACAUAGUUGGGUGGCAUACCGGGAUAAUGCACGAAACUUAGCCUCAUAUGCAUUGACCGACAUCCUACCUUGCUCUAGGCUCAAGAAUCAUCCCUUUUCCUAUCCCUCAAAGUUCGGGGGAUAUACUUCUCCAUAAACAAGCUAGAGAAUGAGGCCCAAGUCAUAGGUGGUGCCUCUAUUGGUUGACACUCAAUAUGUGACCGCCACCACAUUUUGGCGUUCCCUUGAAACUGAUAAGUCACAAACUCCACACCAAACCGUUCUACUAUACCCAUCUUGUGUAGUAGCUCGUGACAGUCAACCAGAAAAUCAUAAGCAUCCUCCGAUUCAGCACCCUUGAAGACCGGAGGUUUCAAUUUCAAGAACUUACUGAAAAGUUCAUGCUGAUCAUUUGUCAUUACAGGCCCUGUAGUCAGACGUGGAAAUGUGCUUAUUUCCAAUGGAACGUCCAUACGGGGAGCCAUAGUAGCCGCAUGUUGUACCUCCGGAGCCUGAGGUGCUGGUGCAGAAAACACUGGGGGUGUCUGGCCCUGAUCAGAUAACCCGCUAAGAUAAGCCAGAACCUGAUUGAUCAUCUCUGGGGUAGGUUGGGGUGGCAUUUCCUCAUUCUGCACUUGUUCAUUCUCCCCAUCCUCCCCUUCUCUUACUACUUCUUCAGUCGGUGGAGGAGUCACCGCCCUAGUAUCAGAUGGGUUAGGUGCUCGUCCUCUUCCUCUAGAGGACGUCCUCCCACGACCUCUACCACGGCCUCUUGCCGUUGCUCUUCCUCGAGCCACAGCCCCAGUGGCUGGCUCAGACGCACCCUGUCCUGCGGGUGCUGGUGUUGGUGUUGGCGUAGUCGUUGCUCUAGUUCUAACCAUCUGCGAAAGAGAGUGAAGAUGGUCAGAUACCAAUUGUAUCACCUAGAUACCAAUUGGAUUAAAGUAGUAGCACGAAAGAAAGAAAGAAAGAAUGGAAUUUUCCUAAAGUCCUAUAGCCUCUCAAAGAAAAGUAAAGGCGUCCCCCUACCGUUCCUUAAGACUCUACUAGACUCGUUCUUGUGUGAUGAGACCAAAGAACCUAAUGCUCUGAUACCAAGUUUGUCACGACCCAAAUUCGGGCCGCGACUGGCACCCACACUUACCCUCUUAUGUGAGCGAACCAACCAAUCUAACCUUAACAUUUCAAUAUAAUAUCAAUAGAAAGUAAUGCGGAAGACUUAAACUCAUUAAAUAAAGACCAAUUCAUUAACUUCUAAAAUUCAACAUCUAUUAUUCCCCAAAACCUGGAAGUCAUCAUCACAAGAACAUCUACGAUCAAACGACUAAACUAAGAGUAUUCUAAAAGCAAAAAAUACAUAAGAAGCUAGUCCAUGCCGGAAGUUCAAGGCAUCAAGACUUGAAGAAGAAGAUCCAGUCCAAGCUAGAAGCAUUAGCUCACCCUGAAUUUCCGAUGUAGUAAGACUGGCUUGAAUUACUGUUGAGUUGAAGACGAUGGCAUGUUUGCUGCACUCCACAAAUAAACAAGAAGAGAACAUAAAAGUAGGGGUCAGUACAAAACACGGGUACUGAGUAGAUAUCAUCGGCCAACUCAAAAUAGAAAUCAAUAUAUACCAAGUAAAAUCAUAAAAUCAACUAUGAUACUCAACAUGUAGCAACAACAAAUACUAUAUCAUUAACAAUUACCGUCAAGUUCACACAUGAGGACUCAAGCCUCGAUACCAUACUCAUUUGGGAAUCAUGUUCAUUAGAUUGAGUAUAUUAACAUCUUUCAAGAUUCAUUAUCUUUAUUUCUCUUGUGUCGGUACGUGACACUCCGCUCCCUCAAUAUUCAUUAAUCCUCUUGUGUCGGUACGUGACACUCUGAUCCCCUAAAUCUAUGUGUCGGUUCGUGACACCCGAUCCCCUAAAUCUAUGUGUCGGUUCGUGACACCCGAUCCCCUAAAUCUACGUGUCGGUUCGUGACACCCGAUCCCCUAAUACUACGUGUCGGUUCGUGACACCCGAUCCCCUAAUACUACGCGUCGGUUCGUGACACCCGAUCCCCUAAUUCUACGUGUCGGUUCGUGACACCCGAUCCCCUAAUACUACGUGUCGGUUCGUGACACCCGAUCCCCUAAUUCUACGUGUCGGUUCGUGACACCCGAUCCCCUAAUUCUACGUGUCGGUUCGUGACACCCGAUCCCCUAAUCUCCUUCCAUCAAUUCAUCAAGCCUUCUUUCUUACCAAGGCAUCAUCAAUCUCAUUACUUUAGUUCAUCAAGCCUUCUCCCUUACCAAGGCAUCAUCAUUAAAAAGAGAUUAGGUUUUUAUCAAGAUUUGGGAUUCAAUAACUUCAUCAUGCUUAAUAUAAUCACAAUUAUAUAAUCACGUUCAUGCAUGCAUACAAUUAAGCACAUAGCAGGGUUUACAAUACUACCAAUACAUAUCAUUCUCUAUUAAGAGUUUACUAUGAAAGCAUGAAAACCAUAACCUACCUCCACCGAAGAAUUGAAAUCAAGCAAGUUAAUCCUAAAAGCUUGGUGCUUUCCUCUUCUCUCGAUCGUUUCUCUCUCUCCCUUCUUGUUCUUUCUAUUUUCUUAUUCCAACCCUCUUUCUUUUACCCUAAUUGGUAUAUAAUUAAGAAUAAAAGAUGGCAAUAAUGCCCCACUAAUUAACUUAAGGUUACCUCUUUUAACCCCCAAGUAAUUAGACUUAUUAACAUUAACCCACUAACUUUAUAAUUAAGGCAAGAAUAGUCAAAAACGUCCCUUAAAACGUAUCAAGAAAUCCGACCCAGACUGGGAUUGCGCAACCUGCGACGGCCCGUCGUGCCUGCGACGGCCCGUCGUGCCUGCGACGGUCCGUCCUGCAGGUCAUCGCAAGGGUCAGAGACUCAAUUUCCACUGAAUAAUCUGUGACGGUCCAUCACGCCUAUGACGGUCCGUCCUGCCAUUCCAUCACGAAGUUCAGAGAGUCGAUUUUCAGUACCCAAAUUUCAGAAUUUCUAAGUGUUUUGGGACGAGACACCCUCGACGGUGCGUCGUGCCCAUGAUGUUCCGUCGUGGGUUCCGUCGUCUAAGCCUGUUUUUCCAGAAUAAAAUCUGCUGCUCAAAACGACUAAACAGGUCGUUACAUAGAGACCCUCAAACAGGUUCACGAAUACCAUCAAUGUCUACUGGAGGAGCAGCAAUGAAGGCAAUAAUAAAUACAGAAGUUGCCGUCAAUAAGGUAGGGAUCAUCAAAACACCAAACCAUCAAAUGUAAAGACGGUUUUCAAUGCUAGUUAUCCAGUUACAGAAGCGACCCCAUCGACUUUCGCUUUCGCGUCUCUCUAAAUUGCAGUCAUGGUAGACUCUAGGUUUAUUUAAUAAUCAGGGACUCCAAAGCACACGAGUUUUCUACAAAUCAAAAUAGAAAAAAGAAGGCUUGUUAUUCAAUAGUAUAUUAUUAUUAUUUAUUGUUUUAUUAUUAUUAUAAUUAUUAUUAUUAUUGUUAUUAUAAUUAUUAUUACAAUUACUAUUAUUAUUAUUGUUAUUAAUAUUAGUAUUAUUAUUUCUAUUAUAUUUAUAAGUAUUAUUAUUAUUACUAUUAUUAUUAUUAUUAUUAUUAUUAUCACUAUUACUAUUAUUACUAUUAUUAUUAUUAUUAUCACUAUUACUAUUAUUACUAUUAUUACUAUUAUUAUUAAUACUAUUAUUAUUAUUAUUCUUAUUAUUAUUAUCAUUAUUAUUGUUACUAUUAUUAUUAAUAAUAUAUUAUUAUUAACAUUAUUAAUAUUUUUAUAUAUUAUUAUUAUUAUUAUUAUUGUUAUUAUUAUAAUAAUGAGUAUUAUUAAUAUUAUUAUUAGUAUUAUCAUUAUUAUUAUUAUUAUUAUCAUUAUUAUCAUUACUAUCAUUAUUAUUAUUAUUAUUAUUAUUAUUUAUUUAUUAUUAUUAUUAUUAUUAUUAUUAUUGUUUUUUAUUAUUAUUAUUAUUAUUACUACUAUUUCUAUUAUUAUUGUUAUUACUAUUAUUAUUAUUACUAUUAUAUUUAUAAGUAUUAUUAUUAUUAUUAUUAUUACUAUUAUUAUUAUUAUUAAUAUUUUUAUUACUAUUAUUUUUAUUGUCCUCUUCCUCUAGAGGACGUCCUCCCGCGACCUCUACAACGGCCUCUUGCCACUGCUCAUCUUCGAGCUACAACCUCAGUGGCUAGCUCAGACGCCUCUUGUCUUGCCGGUGCUGGUGUUGGCGCAGUUGUUGCUCUAGUUCUAACCAUCUGCAAAAUAAAGUGAAGAUGGUCAGAUACCAUUUUGUAUCACCUAGAUACCAAUUGGACCCAAGUAAUAGCACGAAAGAAAGAAAGAAUGGAAUUUUCCUAAAGUCUUGUAGCCUCUCAAAGAAAAGUAAAGGCAUCCCCCUACCGUUCCUCAAGACUCUAAUAGACUCGUUCUUGUGUGAUGAGACCAACGAACCUAAUGCUCUGAUACCAAGUUUAUCACGACCCAAAACGAGCCGUGAGUGGCACCCACACUUAUCCCCCUACGUGAGCGAAUCCAACCAAUCUAACCCCGACGUUUUCAAACAUAAUAAACAGGAUAAAAUGCGGAAGACUUAAAACUCAAUAAUAUAACCAAUAAAUAACUUCUAAAACUCAAAACUUAUCAUUAUCCCCAAAAUCUGGAAGUCAUCAUCACAAGAACAUCUAUCCUCAAAUCACUAAAUCUAAGAGUAUCUAAGAAACUAAAAUAACUAAACAACUAGUCCAUGCCAGAACUUCAAGGCAUCAAGACGUGAAGAAGAAGAUCCAAUCCAAGCUAGAAACAAUAGCUCACCCUGAAAACUGACGUGAUGAAGACUGGCUAGAGUUGCGGUUGAGUUGAAGACGACAGUACGUUUGCUGCACUCCACAAAUAACAAAGAGAAGACAUACAAGUAGGGGUCAGUACAAAACACGAGUACUGAGUAGAUAUCAUCGGCCAACUCAAAAUAGAAAGUAAUAUAUAUCAGAUAAUAUCAUAAAAUCAACUACAAUACUCAACAGGUAGCAGCAACAAGUACAAAGAUAAUUGAUAAUAAUGCCAAGUACACCCAUGAGGACUCAAGUCCCCAUACAAUACUCAAUUGGGAAAUAGGUUCAUUAUUUUGAGUAUAUUAACAUAAUUAAAGAUUCAUUCUCUUUACUAUCCUGGUGUCGGAACGUGACACUCCGAUCCUCUUCAUACUAUCCUGGUGUCGGAACGUGACACCCGAUCCAUUAAUACUAUCCUGGUGCCGGAACGUGACACCCGAUCCAUUAAUACUAUCCUGGUGCCGGAACGUGACACCUGAUCCAUUAAUACUACCCUGGUGCCGGAACGUGACACCCGAUCCAUUUAUACUAUCCUAGUGCCGGAACGAGACACCCGAUCCAUUUAUACUAUCCUGGUGCCGGAACGUGACACCCGAUCCAUUAAUACUAUCCUGGUGAUGGAACGUGACACCCGAUCCAUUAAUACUAUCCUGGUGCCGGAACGUGACACCCGAUCCAUUAACCUCAUUCUUUUAGUUCAUCAAGCCUUCUUUUAUACCAAGACAUCAUCAUUAACAAAGAGGUUUUAAGUUUUUAAGAUUCAACAACCUCAUCAUGCUUAUUUUAUCACAAUUAUAUAAUCACAUCAUGCAAGCACACAAUUAAGCAUAUAGAAGGGUUUACAAUACUACCCAAUACAUAUCAUUCGCUAUUAAGAGUUUACUAUGAAAUAGCAUAAAAUCAUAACCUACCUCCACUGAAGAAUUGAAGUCAAGAAAUCUACUUUUCCAAUGCUUUGCUUUCUUCAUCGUUUCUCCCUUUCUCGAUCGUUCGCCCCUUUCUCUCUGUUCUUUCUAUUUUUCCUUAUUCAAACUCUUUUUCUUUUACCUAAUUACCAUAUAAUUAAGUAUAAAAGAUGGUAAAAGUAACCCAAUAAUUUAUCCAAGGUUGUCUCCUUUAACCCCCAAGUAAUUGGAUUAUUAACAUGCAACCACUAACUUUAUAAUUAUAAGCAUGAAUAGUCCAAAACGCCCCUUACAAAUAUUUAACAGAAAUCCGACCCAAUCAGGGUUACGCAGUCUGUGACGACCCGUCGUGCCUGCGAUGGUCCGUCCUGCUGAGUCGUCACAGAGUUCAGAGACUCAAUUUCAUCAAAGGGUCUGUGACGGUCCGUCGUGCCCACGACGUUCCGUCCUGCCAUGUCGUCGCGAAGUUCAGAGAGUUGUUCUCAGUACCCAAUUUUUCAAAAUUCUAAGUGUUUUGGAAGGAGACCCCCUCGACGGUCCGUCGUGCCCAUGACGGUCCGUCGUGGGAUCCGUCGACUCAGACUGUAAUUACCAGAAAUAAACUCUACUGCUCAAAACGACUAACAUGUCAUUACAAUUAUUAUUAUUAU